CCAGUUUUAUUGAUUUGGAAGUAUUCGACCUGUUAAUGUUAUAUACUUUCAAAGUUACAAGCUAUGCUCAAAACUUAGUACUUUUUCUUUAACAAAAAAAAUAUACUUUCAAAGUUGUAACAUACAUAUACGAACUAAACAGCUGUCGUGCGAUUAAUAUGGAGUUAAUCUUAGAACUCUAAAGAGAUGAAUUUAAGACUUAUGUAACUAAAUGCUGAGUGAGCCUUGCCGAACAUUUGUGGGGUUUGGACCAAACAGAUUAUUGUAUAUCAAAGGCACUCUUUCUAAUGAGAAAACCUCAUAUUAGCUUCAUACGAAAUACUCCAAUAAUGAGCUAUCUCAAAGAUAAGGUAAAAUGGUGGAUGUGUAUGUAAUGAACUUGAAGACCAGUGGAGAGGAGAUCAUCCCGUGGAACACUCUGGCUUUGUUUCCACACUCGGGCUUUGAUUGGUAACCUUGCAGAAUGGUAAAAUGUAGUUUACGCAAUUCCGCAAGUAUUUUACCAAUUAAAAAAGUUUGUAGAAUGAUAAAAAAAUACAAACUAAUAAUAAUUUUCAUUAAGUGGAAACGUGAGUUAUAGUAGAUUAUAGUGGAAAGAAUUAUAAAUUCAACACUUUCAUAUUACUAAAUUAUAUGUUAAUACCAUUUUAAAUUUUUAAACAAAUAAUAUUAUUUUUAUGAUAAAUAGUUAUGUUAAAAAUAAAGUUAUAUUAUAAUUUGUUUAUAGUAUUAUGAAAUGUCAAUCUAUUAUCAAAUAUCAUAUUAAAACAUAAGCUAAAUAUUUAUAAUAAGAUCUGAAGUAAUUUUAAUAAAUAUUAGUUAUUUUCAUAUUAUGUAAUAAUUAGUUUUAUUAUUGAUAUUUAUUUUUAUUAUAAAAGUUGAAUACCAUAUAAAAUAUUUUGAUCAAUUAAACAUUUAUUCUAUCAUUCCGUAAAUUUUGAAUUUUCCGCAACUUAAUUAAUUUUUCCUCAGUUUAACUAUUUUUUCUGCGAUUAAUCGAUUGUUACCAAUCAGAGUCACUCUUAAAGAAAUAAUGGUGAGUUAAGAGGAGAUUAGCAAAUAGCCAAAUAAUCUGUGCAUUAAUUAUUGCUACAUAAAAACAUCUUUUUAUUCAUUAUUAUGGAGAUCAACCCCUUGUAUAGAGGGUCGAUUACUUAUCCUCCGUUCUUAGAAAUUUGAAAGAAUAAAAUGUAUAAAAACUAGGUAGGAUUAUAUAAAACUUAUAAGUAUAUUUUAUUAUAUAAAGCUUGGGUUUUCAAAGUUACUAAUUAACAUGAUCGCGACACAUGGCAAUUAAAACUUUAAGAUU